AACGCUAGCUACAGGCUUAACACAUGCAAGUCGAGGGGCAGCAUGAACUUAACUUGCUAAGUUUGAUGGCGACCGGCGCACGGGUGAGUAACACGUAUCCAACCUUCCGUUUACUCAGGGAUAGCCUUUCGAAAGAAAGAUUAAUACCUGAUAGUAUGGUGAGAUUGCAUGAUAGCACCAUUAAAGAUUUAUUGGUAAACGAUGGGGAUGCGUUCCAUUAGGUAGUAGGCGGGGUAACGGCCCACCUAGCCGACGAUGGAUAGGGGUUCUGAGAGGAAGGUCCCCCACAUUGGAACUGAGACACGGUCCAAACUCCCACGGGAGGCAGCAGUGAGGAAUAUUGGUCAAUGGGCGAGAGCCUGAACCAGCCAAGUAGCGUGAAGGAUGAAGGUCCUACGGAUUGUAAACUUCUUUUAUACGGGAAUAAAGUUUCCUACGUGUAGGAUUUUGUAUGUACCGUAUGAAUAAGCAUCGGCUAACUCCGUGCCAGCAGCCGCGGUAAUACGGAGGAUGCGAGCGUUAUCCGGAUUUAUUGGGUUUAAAGGGAGCGCAGACGGGAGAUUAAGUCAGUUGUGAAAGUUUGCGGCUCAACCGUAAAAUUGCAGUUGAUACUGGUUUCCUUGAGUGCAGUUGAGGCAGGCGGAAUUCGUGGUGUAGCGGUGAAAUGCUUAGAUAUCACGAAGAACUCCGAUUG
rnacentral:rRNA from 1 species